AUUCCUCCGGUGAGCUUAACAGCGGCUGUCUGCGCGUCCCCUUCGCGUCCCUGGUGCACUAGUGAACCGGAGGAGCAGCUCGCCGCGCUGCUCGGACCGCAGAGGAUGACAGACGGGAACCAGUCGGUCCCGUUACGACUGCGACAAAGCGAGAAACGCGAGCUUCUUAAUACUGAUCGUUAGCAGAACCUGCGCAUCUCAGCACCGCAACAACAGGCUCGGGCGGGAUGCUCGGCACCGGCACAGAAUCCCCGGUUAUUCACAUCCAGUCACAGGCCGCCGCCGGUACCGGCGAGCUAAUCUGCUCCGUUGAGUGACACAACGGGACCGAAGCAAAAUGGGAUUCCUGCACCAGCUCCAUCUCCUGCUGUGGAAGAACAUCUCUCUGAAGAGGAGGGGACCGGUAAGACACCCCGUCGGUUGACACGUGCCCCGCCGUGCCAGGCUGCGGUAUUUGGGCGAAGCACCUGCUGUCUCCAUCUGAGCUGAUGAUGUCGAUGAUGAUGGUGGUCGUGGUGAAGAUGGUGGUGGUGGUGGUGAAGAUGAUGGUGGUGGUGGUAUUGGUCAAGAUGGUGGUGAGGAUGAUGGUGGUGGUGAAGAUGGUGGUGGUGAUAGUGGUGAAGAUGGUGGUAAUGAUGUUGAUGGUGGUGAUGAUGAUGGUGGUCAUGGUGAAGAUG
ensembl:lncRNA